CGGGAGUGGGCUAAUAGAACACCCGCAAGGGAAAUACGUCCGGCCUGCUGUGUGAGGUUUCUUAGCUCCCGACACCC
rnacentral:ncRNA from 1 species